rnacentral:piRNA from 1 species
UACCAAUUCAUAACGGGGCCUCUUGAUU